rnacentral:rRNA from 1 species
AACGAACGCUGGCGGCAUGCCUAACACAUGCAAGUCGAACGAAGUCUUCGGACUUAGUGGCGGACGGGUGAGUAACACGUGGGAACGUACCUUUUGGUUCGGAACAACUCAGGGAAACUUGAGCUAAUACCGGAUGAGCCCUUAGGGGGAAAGAUUUAUCGCCGAAAGAGCGGCCCGCGUUAGAUUAGCUAGUUGGUGAGGUAAAGGCUCACCAAGGCUACGAUCUGUAGCUGGUCUGAGAGGAUGAUCAGCCACACUGGGACUGAGACACGGCCCAGACUCCUACGGGAGGCAGCAGUGGGGAAUCUUGCGCAAUGGGCGAAAGCCUGACGCAGCCAUGCCACGUGAAUGAUGAAGGUCUUAGGAUUGUAAAAUUCUUUUACCAGGGACGAUAAUGACGGUACCUGGAGAAAAAGCCCCGGCUAACUUCGUGCCAGCAGCCGCCGUAAGAC